rnacentral:rRNA from 1 species
UCCUGGCUCAGGAUGAACGCUGGCGGCGUGCCUAACACAUGCAAGUCGAACGGGGCGUGCCGAUGGAAACUUUUCGGAGCGGAAAUUGGCGCUGCCUAGUGGCGGACGGGUGAGUAACGCGUGAGCAACCUGCCCUGCACUGGGGGACAACAGCCGGAAACGGCUGCUAAUACCGCAUAGGCGCACAGCCCUGCAUGGGGCGGUGUGGAAAGCAAUACGGUGCAGGAUGGGCUCGCGUCUGAUUAGCUUGUUGGCGGGGCAACGGCCCACCAAGGCGACGAUCAGUAGCCGGCCUGAGAGGGUGGACGGCCACAUUGGGACUGAGACACGGCCCAGACUCCUACGGGAGGCAGCAGUGGGGAUAUUGCACAAUGGGGGAACCCUGAUGCAGCGACGCCGCGUGGGCGAUGGAGUGCUUCGGCAUGUAAAGCCCUAUCAGCAGGGAAGAAAAUGACGGUACCUGACUAAGAAGCCCCGGCUAAAUACGUG